rnacentral:rRNA from 1 species
AACCGUUAUAACCGGCGAUACCCGAAUGGGGAAACCCAGUGUGACUCGUCACACUAUCAUUAACUGAAUCCAUAGGUUAAUGAGGCGAACCGGGGGAACUGAAACAUCUAAGUACCCCGAGGAAAAGAAAUCAACCGAGAUUCCCCCAGUAGCGGCGAGCGAACGGGGAGGAGCCCAGAGCCUGAAUCAGCAUGUGUGUUAGUGGAAGCGUCUGGAAAGGCGCGCGAUACAGGGUGACAGCCCCGUACACAAAAGCGCAUGUGCUGUGAGCUCGAUGAGUAGGGCGGGACACGUGGUAUCCUGUCUGAAUAUGGGGGGACCAUCCUCCAAGGCUAAAUACUCCUGACUGACCGAUAGUGAACCAGUACCGUGAGGGAAAGGCGAAAAGAACCCCGGCGAGGGGAGUGAAAAAGAACCUGAAACCGUGUACGUACAAGCAGUGGGAGCCCCACCACCAAAGCAUUUGCUGUACCGCGUUGACGGAG